AGUGCUAAGAACAAGCGUCCUCUAGACUCUGCUCCAAAAGAGACUGAAAGUCCAAUACAAUCUGCUAAAGCCUCAGAAGUCCUGCCUGAAAAAGUCUCUGAAGAUAACAAAUCUUCAAGCAAAAAGGAUGCGACAGCAGCUGCUAGAAAAGUUAAACAUUCCGCAGGAGGCCCAAAAGAAGUAUCUGUUGAAAAAGAGCUAGUCACGAACAAAAAGGUCAUUGAAAAUGGUGGUAAAGAUGGCAAUAGUGAUAAAGGAGACUCAGAGGACUCACUAUCGAUAGAAUUGAGCUCAGAUGAAAAUGAAUACAUCAACAUUAAAAAUGACGAUUUAUUCUUGAGCGGAGACGAUGAUGUGGCAGCACCAUGCCCUCCUAGUAUCAAAUCAGUGUCUAGCAAAGCAAUCAGUUUGAAAGCCAAUGACCCAAGAAGUUCAAGGCGUCAUUCAGGUUCAAAAGAAACUCUCUCCAAGAGAGGUCGAUCUCCAGAACCCUCAAGAUCAACAUCUGGUGCCAGAGACGAUCAUAGGAGAGUGGUUUUAGACCGUUCUAAAGAACCCUCAAGGCGAGAUACAGAGCGUACAAAAUCGGACGCAAACUCAGUAGGAUCAAAGAAAGUUAUGGAUGCUCGAGAAGUCCUCAACUGGAAGCGAAGUUUGAGCAAAGGUCAAGCUUCAGGAGGAGAA
rnacentral:lncRNA from 1 species